rnacentral:lncRNA from 1 species
CAGGCGGUCUGAGAAUAGGCUGGAUACAUGGAUGGAGAGCCAGUGCUUCAGCAUGAAAACCACUUGUCCUGGAAAGGAAGUCUUCCACUCAUGGUUCCUCUGAGCCUAGGAUAUGCUUAUCUUUACUGUUUCUUUGAGGGGUUGUGCAGAAGGAAUUUUUAGCUGACCUGCCAGUGCUGAAUAAUCCUAUGCAGAUUCUUCUGCUGUUUCCAUUAAUUUAGAAGUGCUCAUCAUGGUGAAUGUUAUGUGACUACCAAAGGGCUCUCUAAGGUCUAAUUCAUUAUUUUACAGUGGUUAUCAAUUCUUAGUGCUUUGGAAGAAACUAAUUUGCAAAUAGUUAGCACUUCAUUUAAAUAUAAAUUACUUCAGCAGUUAUAAAUUCCAGCUCAAAACCACAAAAUGUUCCAGUAAUAAUGAACUGACCCUUCUCCAAUGCAGAAGAGCAUGCAGAAGUGUCUGCCCAAGAAGUUCAAACUUCUGAGAUGUGUAUGGUCAGCCAGCAGCAAAUGUGUCCCGUGCUUAGGUGAUGUUGUAGACAUCAGCAUGCAGUUGUUAGCGGUGGGGCCAGGCUCAGACCUUACCAGCUCUACCCAGUUUGAGGGGAGAAGGGCUUUGCAUUAGACUUAGCUGGCCAAAUGACUCAAGGUCUUUCAGUGCUGCUUGAGUGCAGUGAAGAGGAAGUGAGGAGGAAAGGGACUCAUUUUCUCCUUGUCCUGGGACCACACCGUUUCUUCUUGGUUUUGAAUGUGUGAGGGACUGACAAGGCAAUUGCAGUUGAGGGUCCUGACGUCCCUAGACCCUUACAUGGGCCAAGCUCUGCAGCUGGCCGGUGUCUCCUGCUGCGUUGCUUGCUCUGCUGUGCGCAGGCUGAAGUGGUGCCUCCGUGGUUCAGCAGCUCGCAUUGGGUGCCGGGGAGAAGCAGCRUCCAGGCAGAGAUCGCAGCCUGUGGAGAGGAUGACAGAAGAGAAUGACAAAGUCCCGGUUUGUCCCUGGGGGUCAGUGCUGAUCGGACACAAACACAUCUCUGCACAGAUCCACUGUAAAAUAAAAAUGUCUUGUGGUUUCCGAAUCAUGCUUUAGUGUUCUGAUAYGUGAAGAAGUAACUACCCAAAUUUUCAUUUUAUUUCUUGACAGAAACUAAUUUUGAUAUAUCAUAUUUUCUCAAGAGGCAGAGUUCUAACAUAAUGCUCAGCUCUGCCCAGACCAAAUGCUUGUUUCAUGGCAUUAUCUGUUACCACAUAUGGAAAUACAGCAAAAGUUCAAAGGCACAUAUUCCCCAGCUCCCUGCUCUUUGUUAUAAACUCAGCAUCUWGAGGGUUGUGAGCAUGAAACCAGAGUCUGGUUCCUACUCACUGAAAAACUGUAAAUAUUGUGAUAGCUAAUAGUGUCACUAAGGUUGUAUAUGGGGCGCAGUCCAGUCCCCUGCACACUCAAAACCUAGAAGUGUGUCCAGUGGGUGCAGGGGGUUGAAAGCAGAAUACGGUCUAGGACAAAUUGGCCAAUGAAGUUAAUAUAAGGACUCAUCCAUUAUCGUCAGGGUGCAGAGUAGGAAAAAUUAAACUCCAGUGGGAACAAAGCUGAGCACUUUCAAGGAGUUCAAAGAAUAAAAGAAAAUCUGGAUUGAAGGGACCUUAAAAA